UUAAGUCAAAUUUCUAUGCAGUUGGAACAGCGCCCCUAGCGGCAAACGUAGACAAACGUUCUAACUCCAUACAAAUUUGACUUA
rnacentral:pre_miRNA from 1 species